CCUGUAAUCCUGGCACUUUGGGAGGCUGAGGCGGGCGGAUCAUGAGGUCAAGAGAUGGAGACCAUCCUGGCCAACAUGGUGAAACCGUGUCUCCACUAAAAAUACAAAAAUCAGCUGGGCAUAGUGGCGCACGCCUGUAGUCCCAGCUACUUGGGAGGCUGAGGCAGGAGAAUCGCUUGAACCCAAGAGGCAGAGGUUGCAGUGAGCCGAGAUUGUGCCAUUGCACUCCAGCUUGGGCGACAGAAAAAAAAAAAAAAGAGAAAGUGGCACAGCUGAGAUGUGAACCUAGCAGUCUGGGCCCCAGCCUGCUUUUAGCCACUUGGCCAGCAUUCCCUGAGGUGGGAAGCUUUCAGAAAUCCUGAUGUCCAGACUGUACCCCAUCCUGAUGAAACCAGAAUCCAUGGGGUGUGCCCCAAGCACCAGCCAUUUCUUCAACUCUCCAGGUAAAGAAGAGCGACAGGGACAGCGCUGAAGGGCACCACCUUGGGCUUUCGAGGCCCAACACCUCCUCAGCCCCCAACAUGCUCCACUCUCUCAAAAAAACAACAACCCGCG
rnacentral:antisense_RNA from 1 species